UAAGCAUGUUGAACAAACUCAACAUCAAGACCUUACGGGUGUCCCUGAGAGUGGAGUAAGACCUAAUACCUCCCGCAGCUCUUCGAAGAUGGAAAAACCAAAAAGGAGACUUUUGCCUAAAUCAUCCAUUCUAGUCAGGGAAAUCAGCACCUAUGAUGCUGAUGAGAUUGACAAACCAGAGGGAAACGGAGGUGGGAAGAACUUGGCUGCUUCUGAGAGGCAAAGAACUCAGGGCAGCAUUUCUCUCCUACCCUUACUUAAGAAUAAUCUUCAUCUCUAGUUUAGCACCUUUUAUUGCUUUAAAUAAAGCUUGCUCAUUUUGUAUAGAUGUCCCCGUUUUGAGUUUUUUUUAAAGGUUCUAUAGCCAAGUAUAAGCAUGCAAUGGGUAUUGUUUGCUUAAUGGUCUGUACUUCUGAAAGCUUACUGCCGAUGGGACCUCCUGAAGUUGAAUGUCAAUGAUCUCUUUGGGGCAAAUACACAAAAUAUAUAGUUUAAAUUUUAAUUCUUAA